rnacentral:rRNA from 1 species
GAGUUUGAUCGUGGCUCAGGAUAAACGCUGGCGGCGUGCAUGAGACAUGCAAGUCGAACGGACGAUCGAGGCUUGCCUUGAUCGUUAGUGGCGGACGGCUGAGUAACGCGUAGGUGACCUGCCCCGAAGUGGGGAAUAACUGCCCGAAAGGGUGGCUAAUACCGCAUGUGGUGGUGUGUUCAUUCACACCAGUAAAGCCGCAAGGCGCUUCGGGAGGGGCCUGCGUCCGAUUAGCUCGUUGGUGGGGUAACGGCUCACCAAGGCGACGAUCGGUAGGUGGUCUGAGAGGACGAUCACCCAGACUGGGACUGAGACACGGCCCAGACUCCUACGGGAGGCAGCAGUCGGGAAUUUUGCGCAAUGGACGAAAGUCUGACGCAGCAACGCCGCGUGAGGGAUGAAGGCCUU